GAAAGCCUGAAAUGAGCGGAUGAACCUAUAAUUUUGAACCUACACCAUGAGAAAGGGAGUCCGCGUUUGGGAAUGGAUGCCAGGCCUCAAUUUAAUACCGACAUCCGGUGCAAAUCGGGUGCAACGGCGGAGGAAGGUUGAAGUUCCCAAUAGGACACCCACCUAGCAGAGGCUAGGUGUCAAAAUAUAGGGGAACGCCAUUUUGGGUUUAUA
rnacentral:other from 1 species